rnacentral:sRNA from 1 species
GCAAUUUUUUAUUAUUUCGAGAAAGUUUGAAAUGAGCAUUUGGUCCUGUCACAAUAAUAGGUCCAUGAUAUACGUAUUUAACUAGAGCUACCGUGAAUUUUGCCUUCUUAUAUUGAACAUCUUCUACUUGAAUAACAUCCUUAUCGUGACCCAUUUCUAUGGAUUCUGCUACGAAUACGCAGACUUUACAAUCAUCCGAAAAUAUAUGGGUGAA